GCCAGAGUGGUGGAAUUGGUAGACACGCUGGACUCAAAAUCCAGUGGGGCUUAAACCCUGUGUCGGUUCGACUCCGACCUCUGGCACCA
rnacentral:tRNA from 1 species